AUACCCUCUGAACGACAGAGACGGGAAGGACUCAAAGGAGGAAGCACCCCAGGCCACCUGUUCCACCGCCACCACUGCUCCCGGAUGGAGGGAUUCGUCCUGGCCCGCAGCAGCUCGGGUGUCGAUGUCACCGAUCGGCAGGUGCCAAACUUCCUGCAACGGAAACCCAGGAAGUGCGCUGGAUGAGAACACACGCCCUUUGUCUGCCAGCUCAGAGGCUCUGCUGCCCUCCGCCCUCCCUGCCAGGCUCACAACGGCUUUCUUCUCCCUUAGAUGGCUCCAGCAGGCAAGGGGCUCAAUCUUCUAUUAGGAUGGUGGCAGCUGAGACCCUGAGUGGCAGGGAAGGGGUGGAAGAGAGGUUUGAGGGCAAGUCUGCUUGCCGGGGCGGGGGUGGCACCUCCACAGUGGAGAGCUUUGACUGAGCAGACACUGACCGGGCACCUACUGUGUGCAAUGCAUGAGUCAAGGAGCCGACGGGAUCAAAUCAGACAUGAUCAGUCCUUGUCCCCACAGUCCUUACAGGGAGAUUGGGUAGAGCAAACCAUAAAGCAAAUUAACAUAACAAUAACCAAUAGUAAAAGGUGCUAUGAAGGAAUGGACAAGGGGUCU
rnacentral:lncRNA from 10 species